rnacentral:tRNA from 1 species
UGGGAUUUGGCUUAAUGGUAGAGUGCUUGCCUAGUAUGCAUGAAGCCCUGGGUUCGAUUCCUCAGUACUAU